GAGGGCGGUGAAAUAGACCUGAAACCGUAUGCUUACAAGGACUCGGAGCCCAUACCAGCGCAUCUCACUUUCGUGAGGUGAAUUUUCAAGUACCAAUUUUCAAUUUUCAUUGAAUUUUCAAUGAAACAAUUUUCAAACAUUAAAACGGUUUGUAAAUUUAUUCAUUGUUUCAUUCAUUGAAAAUUGAUAAUUGAAAAUUGAGAAUUUCGCACGUCGCGAGAGUGAGGUGCGUUGAGGGGUGACGAGGUGCCUAUUGAAGAAUGAGCCAACGAGUUUAUGUGUGUUGCAAGUCUAAGUCCGAUACAAUCGGAUGGAGGCAUAGCGAAAGCGAGUGUUAAUAGCGCGAAGACGCAUCUCACUAAGGCGAGAUGCAAGAAAAUGUAAAAUGUAAAUAUCAAAAUGGAAAAUGACAAUGUAAAGUGUUAAAAUUUUAACGAAUUAAAACAUUUUAUAACUUUAAUCUGUCAUUUUAAUCUUUGAUUUUUCAAUUUUACAUUAGCGAGCACCGAACUUUAGUGAGGUGCGUCUAUGCAGUAUGCGUAAGACCCGAAGCCAAGCGAGCUUGCCCUGGCCAGGAUGAACUCCGGAGAAAUCCGGAAAGAGGUCCGAACUGGUGGGUUGUGCAAAACCCUCGGAUGAGCUGGGGUAAGAAGUGAAAAGCUAAUCGAGCUUGGUAAUAGCUGGUUCUCUCCGAAAUAUAUUUUCGUAUAGCGUCGAAUGUUUCCUAUUGGGGGUAGAGCACUGGAUGGUUUUGACAGGGCGAAAGCCCGCAAGACCAAUCAAACUCCGAAUACCGAUAGGUAAAAGUUCGGCAGUUAGACUGUGGGGGCUAAGCUCCAUAGUCGCGAGGGAAAAAGCCCAGAUCGUCGUCUAAGGUCCCUAAAUUCCUGCUAAGUGUAAAAGGUAGUCGUUUGCCUUUGACAGAUAGGAGGUUGGCUUAGAGGUAGCCAUCCUUUAAAGAGUGUGUAACAACUCACUAUUCAACGGCCGGCGGCGCCAAAAAUGUACCGGGGCUAAGCAGGGUACCGAAGACACGAAUACCAGUGCUUCGCACUGGGAAUGCCAAAUUUCAAAGCUCAAAUGUCAAAUCAAGCUAAAAUAACUCAAUGUCAAAAACGAAACAUUUUGAUUUUGAACUUUAAUCAUUGAUUUGCCAUUUUGAUUUUGUCAUUUGGAUUUCCACUGCGGAGCAGUGGUGUGGUAGGAGAGCAUUCCCAUCUGCAGCGAAGGUUGACCCGCGAGGGCAACUGGAGCGUUGGGAAGAGAGAAUGUUGGUAUGAGUAACCCCAAAGUUAGUGAGAAACUGACUCCCCGAAAAUCCAAGGUUUCCGUGGCAAUGGCAAUCAACCACGGGUUAGGCGGCCCUAAGGCAAUGGCGAAAGCCGCAGCUAAUGGACAGCUGGUCAAUAUUCCAGCCCUCCCGCUUUUUUCGAUGGGGUGACGAAGAAUAUAAGGUUUAGCGCCUUAAUGGUUUGGCGUUCUUGGCCGAAGAGCAGUUCUAUAGGCAAAUCCGUAGGACUCGCUUUAAUGCGAAUGUUCGAGGCAGAGAAAAGGUUCGGUUUUUACCGGGCCGAUUAAGUUGAAGAGUCUUCCUAGAAAACCCUCUAAGAUUAGAAAAGAUGGGACCCGUACCGUAAACCGACACAGGUGGAUAGGGCGAGAAGCCCAAGGGGAACGAGUGAUUCAUCCUUAAGGAACUCGGCAAAAAAGCGGCCGUACCUUCGGUAUAAGGCCUCCCAGUACUACAACUUUAUUCGCAAUAUUUAUUUUGAAAAUGUUAAAUUUUCUUUUAUAGAUUUAUUUUUCAUCAUAGUAUUGUUAGUAAAGUUGUAGUACUGGGCGCAGCGAAAGUCUCUCUGGCGACUGUUUACCAAAAACACAGCUCCCUGCUAACUCGCAAGAGGAUGUAUAGGGGGUGAAGCCUGACCGAUGCGAGAAGGUCAAGCUUGGAGGUCUGCGCAUCUCACUAAGGCGAGACGCUUAAAAUGUAAAGUUAAAAAAUCAAAAAUCAAAAUGACAAAUCAAAAUUACAAAAUGUUUUAAAUCUUUAACAUUUUACAUUGUCAUUUUGCACUUUGAUAUUUACAUUUUGCAUUUUUAGCAGCUCACUUUAGUGAGGUGCGUUGGCUUACCGAGUUAAGCCCUCGUCAAUGUCAGCGGUAACUAUAACCGUUCUAAGGUAGCGCAAUUCCUUUUCGGGUAAGUUCCGAAGCGCACGAAUGGCGUAACGACUGGAGAACUGUCUCAAGGAUGAGCUCGGUGAAAAUGCGAUUCCCGUGAAGACGCGGGAUACCUGCAGCGGGACGAAAAGACCCCGGGAGCUUUACUGUAGCUUGGUAUUGGCUUUAGGGCUUGGAUGCGUAGUGUAGUGGGCAGCCUUUGAAACUCCGAUUUUGGUUGGGGUGGAGGCAACAAUGAAACACCCAUCUUUCAAGUUUUAAAAUCUAACCUUAAGGGCAAAAACCUUAAGAGACAGUGCCUGGUGGGCAGUUUUAAUGGGGCGUUAUCCUCCUAAAGAGUAACGGAGGAGUUUAUUAAGGUCGGCUUAGCGCGGAUGGAAAUCGCGCCGGACGUGUAAAGGCAAAAGCCGGCUUAACUGCAAGACAUACAAGUCAAGCAGAUGCGAAAGCAGAACUUAGCGACCCGACGGUUAUGCCGAGUAUAUAAUUUAUUAUGUGCUUGACUCUUUGUAGAAAGGCCGGAGACAACGGAUAAAAGUUACCCCGGGGAUAACAGGCUGGUGUGGUCCGAGAGUCCCUAUCGACGACCACGCUCGGCACCUCGAUGUCGGCUCGCCCUAGCGCGGGGCUGAAGAAGGUCCCAAGCGUAUGGCUGUUCGCCAUUUAAAAGGGCACGCGAGCUGGGUUCAAACCGUUAGUCCGAAAGGACUUGGCGGCUAUGCGGAGCAAUCCGCAUUAGCAAAACUGACUCAUAUCGGUGAAGUCCUAACAUUGAAAUUAACCUGUCAUAUGUUAGGAUAAUACCGAGGGAAGUUUUGUAUGAUUAAUCAAAUUAAAACCGCAUAUAUCGCAGGAUUUCUUGAUGGCGAUGGAAGUAUUUAUGUAAGAUUGAAGCCGAAUUCCACAUAUAAAUAUGGAUUUCAGGUUGCGCCUUACGUAGUUUUGUUCCAAUCGCAAAAAGAUCAGAAAAAUUUUGAGAAAGUUUGUUCGCUGAUUGGCUUAGGAUAUUUGAGAAUUCGCAAAGACGGGAUACUCGAAUAUAUUAUCAGUCGAAAUGAGGCGAUUAGAUGUUUUCUUAAAAUGGUAAAACCUUUUUUGAUACUCAAAAAAGAGCAAGCUGAUUUAAUGAUAGAGAUCUUGGAUAAAAAAGAACGCGUGAAAGACAGAAAUGACUUUCAGGUGCUUGCAAAUUUGAUCGAUCGUUUUAGAGAGUUGAAUUACUCAAAAAAGCGCAAAAAACAUACAAUAACCCCGUAGAGACUUUUCUGAAUUGCUGGUUUAGCAAAACAGAAGGAGUUCGCAAUUUAUGCGUACUAAAACGUCAGUACUCCAAAUAAAUUUUUGGAGUGUGGUAUAGUCCAUACCGUUAGUAAUAACGGACGAUUUAAUUCUAGUUUCUAUUUUCUAGAUUCUAGUUUCUAAAUUUAUGCGUGAGACAGGUUGGUCUCUAUCUGCUGCAGGCGUUUAGCACUUGAGGGAAGUCGACCCUAGUACGAGAGGACCGGGUUGAACGAACCUCUGGUCUACCGGCUUUGGUACCAACUGAAGCGCCGGGUAGCUAUGUUCGGAAAGGAUAAGCGCUGAAAGCAUAUAAGCGCGAAGCCUCUCCCAAGACUAUGUGCAGGGCCCUGGAAGAUUACCAGGUUGAUAGGCUUUAGGUGUAAGGUCAGCAAUGAUUUUAGCCGAGAAGUACUAAUAGCCCGA
rfam:Parcubacteria group bacterium CG1_02_42_13 cg1_0.2_scaffold_7932_c, whole genome shotgun sequence.